AACGAACGCUGGCGGCAUGCCUAACACAUGCAAGUCGAACGAAGGCUUCGGCCUUAGUGGCGCACGGGUGCGUAACGCGUGGGAAUCUGCCCCUCGGUUCGGAAUAACACAGAGAAAUUUGUGCUAAUACCGGAUGAUGACGAAAGUCCAAAGAUUUAUCGCCGAGGGAUGAGCCCGCGUAGGAUUAGCCAGUUGGGGAGGUAAAGGCUCACCAAGGCGACGAUCCUUAGCUGGUCCGAGAGGAUGAUCAGCCACACUGGGACUGAGACACGGCCCAGACUCCUACGGGAGGCAGCAGUGGGGAAUAUUGGACAAUGGGCGAAAGCCUGAUCCAGCAAUGCCGCGUGAGUGAUGAAGGCCUUAGGGUUGUAAAGCUCUUUUACCAGGGAUGAUAAUGACAGUACCUGGAGAAUAAGCUCCGGCUAACACCGUGCCAGCCGCCGCGGUAA
rnacentral:rRNA from 1 species